rnacentral:rRNA from 1 species
UACGGAGGGAGCUAGCGUUGUUCGGAAUUACUGGGCGUAAAGCGCACGUAGGCGGCUUUCUAAGUCAGGGGUGAAAUCCCGGGGCUCAACCCUGGAACUGCCCUUGAAACUGGAUGGCUAGAAUCCUGGAGAGGCGAGUGGAAUUCCGAGUGUAGAGGUGAAAUUCGUAGAUAUUCGGAAGAACACCAGUGGCGAAGGCGACUCGCUG